AACGAACGCUGGCGGCAGGCUUAACACAUGCAAGUCGAACGCCCCGCCAGGGGAGUGGCCGCCGGGUGAGUAACGCGUGGGAACAUACCCUUUUCUACGGAAUAGCUCUGGGAAACUGGAAUUAAUACCGUAUACGCCCUACGGGGGAAAGAUUUAUCGGGGAAGGAUUGGCCCGCGUUGGAUUAGCUAGUUGGUGGGGUAAAGGCCUACCAAGGCGACGAUCCAUAGCUGGUCUGAGAGGAUGAUCAGCCACAUUGGGACUGAGACACGGCCCAAACUCCUACGGGAGGCAGCAGUGGGGAAUAUUGGACAAUGGGCGCAAGCCUGAUCCAGCCAUGCCGCGUGAGUGAUGAAGGCCUUAGGGUUGUAAAGCUCUUUCACCGAUGAAGAUAAUGACGGUAGUCGGAGAAGAAGCCCCGGCUAACUUCGUG
rnacentral:rRNA from 1 species